CGCGCAGUGCGGAGCGGAGCCGGGCGGCGAGAGGGGUCCGGCCGGCGGCUGCAGCCGGGCCGGGCGGAGCGGAGCGGCCGCCCCGCGGGGAUUACAGGCUUGCGAGGCUGUUUCGGAGGGGCCGGGGCCGGGCCGCCGCCUCUCCCCCAUGGAAUUCACCUGAGCGCAGCCGCGACGGGAGGGACGGCGCCCGGCGGGAGCCCGCUUUGGCUCGGGAGAGGACGGGCAUGACUUUUUAAGCAAAACAAAAACAAUCAACCCCCCCCAAACGCCCCGGCAAACGGCGGAAGGGAACCCAAAAAGCCGCCCGAAGGAAGGGACGCGCAGCCGCCGGCGCUGGAGCCGCGGAGGGAGGGAGGAGGCGCCGCGGCCGCACCGCCCCGCACCGCCCCGCAGCCGGAGGUGCCGCCGCUGCCCCCGGCCGCCGCCGCACAUGGUUUUCUUUGUCCUGCUGCCGCUCGCGUAGCGCCAGCUCCGCGCUCCCCGCACGCCUCGCUCCUGCCGGGAACCAUCUUGCGGGAGCGGGGAAGGAGCUCGGCGGCCCCGUGAAGGAUGCCCGCCCGGCGGCCCGCGCUCCCGGCCCGCGGAGCCGGCUCCCCGCGGAGGAUUAGUUGGGGUUUGGCCGCGGGACGCUGAGAGCAGCGCUGGAUCGGAGUUGCCGCUCACGCCCGUCCCUCCCGCACCGCCAUGAGCCGCGGGCCGGCCCCGCGGAGCCCCCGGAGCGCAGGCAUCUGAUGCCAGCUCUGAGAAACUGUUCAACGCUGUCACAAAUAAAGGAGAUCCUUGGCUGUGGAGAGGUCUCUCGCUCUCCAGUGAGCUCCACACGGCAUCUGGAGCUGCAUGGGAGUGGAUCCAGCUCUGCAGGCAGCAGUGGUGACAUGGUCAGUGUGCCAGGGCACUGCCAGGGCUCUGCCAGGGCUGUGCCAGGAGACUGCCAGGACCCUGCCAGGACCCUGCCAGGACCCUGCCAGGACCCUGCCAGGGCUCUGCCAGGACCCUGCCAGGGCUCUGCCAGGGCUCUGCCAGGGCACUGCCAGGGCACUGCCAGGGCACUGCCAGGACCCUGCCAGGGCACUGCCAGGACCCUGCCAGGGCUCUGCCAGGGCUCUGCCAGGGCACUGCCAGGGCACUGCCAGGGCUCUGCCAGCGCUGCCUCCCUCCUUUGCAGGCUCUGCAGGAAUCCACAGAACAUCCUCACUCACUUGGGGUGUGUUCUCAGCCUCGCCUGCAGUUUUUGGGGUGGUUGCUCCCUGCUGCCUCUUCUCACAAAAAUUCCUCUUUCCCCCCUGCUGAACCAUGCCAGCUGUCUGCCUUUGGGGCAGCUCCACCCCACAGGUGUUUUUCUUCCUGAAGUUCUUUCAAGCUGUAAGAGAGGACAAAACAGAGAGAGGGAAAUAUUUUAUAUUUCCAUUAUGCAUAAAGCAGCCCUGGAUCCCAAAAUGAAGCAGAAGAGGGAAUUUGGGGAGCUAAACUCCACUCGGACUUUCAAGAGCUUCUCUCAAAGAAGCUUCCACACACCAUCAUAAAAAUGUCAGUGUGAAAUAUCCGAGCAGGAGCAAAUUGAACAAUCUGGUGAUUCUAGUGCCUUCAUCUGCAGUCUCAUGCCUGCAAGGGUGUGCAAAAGUCAAUAACUGGAAUUGGAGGUUAUUGAUUAUUUCACUGGGCUGCUGUUGAAACAUCGUAUGUGCUUGAUUUGGUCUUCAAGCACCCAGUAAACGCUUGGGCUUAGUUCUACCUCCCUUUGUGAAAACAAUUGAAAAUACUAUAAAACUGAAAGUGUCUGAAGUUUGUUUUUUUUUCUCAAUUUUAAAGUAUUUUUCUUAAACUUAAAUAAAUGUUAUUUGUCAAGGUUCCCCUCA
rnacentral:lncRNA from 1 species